GACUUGAUACUUUAAUCUAAAAGAUCUGACUUGCAUUCAGGCAAUAAGUUUUGUGAACUUUCGGGUCA
rnacentral:tRNA from 1 species